rnacentral:rRNA from 1 species
AGGACGAACGCUGGCGGCGUGCUUAACACAUGCAAGUCGAGCGGUAAGGCUCCUUCGGGAGUACACGAGCGGCGAACGGGUGAGUAACACGUGAGCAAUCUGCCCUUCUCUUCGGAAUAAGCGUUGGAAACGACGUCUAAUGCCGAAUACGACCUCCUUUCGCAUGAUCGGAGGUGGAAAGCUCCGGCGGAGAAGGAUGAGCUCGCAGCCUAUCAGCUAGUUGGUGUGGGUAAUGGCCCACCAAGGCGACGACGGGUAGCCGGCCUGAGAGGGUGACCGGCCACACUGGGACUGAGACACGGCCCAGACUCCUACGGGAGGCAGCAGUGGGGAAUAUUGCACAAUGGGGGAAACCCUGAUGCAGCGACGCCGCGUGCGGGAUGAAGGCCUCGGGUUGUAACCGCUUUCAGCAGGGACGAAAUUGACGGUACCUGCAGAAGAAGCACCGGCUAACUACGUGCCAGCAGCCGC